UACUCACCACACGUAUGGUCGCGAACUGAAACUCAACUAAACCUACAAAUAAUAAACGACAAAAGCGAACGACCGACGACAUACGACAGUGACUGUAUUCAAAGCUGAGCUCCAACUGAUGACUGGCAUCCAGCGCUGGUCAUAUAAUCCACCAUCGACGGCGGAGAGAUCUCUUUUCCACAUGCUGUCAUAAACAUACAUAUACAAAAGCCACCAUGAAUGCAUAGCCCGAAAGCAAAGUCGACAAAAAGUAAUAAAUGAAAAUAAGUAACAAAAGAUAAAGAAAAUUAACUACUCUCAGCCGAUUGAACAGACGCAGUUCAGCAGCUCACCAACGAGCCAGCAAACCAACCAACCGACCGAUCGACUCAUCUAACUAGUACUUGUACGUACAAAAACAACAAUAAUGCUAGCAAUGCAGUAACAACAAAAAACUGGAUAGCAAUAGCGGCGGACCAUGAGCAGAGCGUUACCGGACUUAAUUGCCAUACACAUUUUCCCAAAUCAUAAAACCGAACUGCCGUUCCACUAAAAAUAACCAAAAUGGAGGAAUAAGUUUUUAUGCAUACGACCAACACAGAGCCCAUAUCGAUAGACAGUGGAAACUCAUGAAAGUAUUUCCGAGUAUACAACUAUAACGAUCUCAGAAAAAUUAUAAAAUUUAAGGAUUUAAGAGACUGUUUGUGGAAGACGAAUGCGAAAAAAAAAAUUUUUUUAUCGACUCCGUCCAUGAACCACGAAAUAAAAAGAACGGAGUCAAGGCACGGGAUGUUUUAAAAUCUGUAAGUGAUCUAUCAAGAAAAUCUGCACUGCUGAAAUAAAGCUCACUGCUUCUAUAA